UCACGUCCUCGUAGAAGGACACCACCGC
rnacentral:sRNA from 1 species